rnacentral:rRNA from 1 species
UGGGGAAUAUUGCACAAUGGGCGGAAGCCUGAUGCAGCGACGCCGCGUGGGGGAUGAAGGCCUUCGGGUUGUAAACUCCUUGCGACAGGGACGAUGCUUUUGUGACGGUACCUGUAUAAGAAGCACCGGCUAACUACGUGCCAGCAGCCGCGGUAAUACGUAGGGUGCGAGCGUUUUCCGGAAUUACUGGGCGGAAAGGGCUCGUAGGUGGUUUGUCGCGUCGUCUGUGAAAUUCCGGGGCGUAACUCCGGGCGUGCAGGCGAUACGGGCUGACGUGAGGGCUGUAGGGGAGACUGGAAUUCCUCGUGUAGCAGUGGAAUGCGCAGAUAUCAGGAGGAACACCGAUGGCGAAGGCAGGUCUCUGGGCAGUAACUGACGCUGAGGCGCGAAAGCAUGGGUAGCGAACAGG